rnacentral:lncRNA from 1 species
AGCAAAUGGUGCCGGAUUGCCUCUUUGUCACUCAGGGAAGCCAUUUGAUCUUUGGACUCAGGAGAGAGAAAUGUUCCCAGAGAUACCUUCACCUGCUCGUUGUGGGAGGACACCUGGAAAGACACCUGCAGCAUAACAAGAUCUUUGUUACCACCAACAUGGGUCAGCCUCUUCCGCAGGAAAUAAAGAGUGAUUAAUGUUGUGUGGUAGAAGAGAAGAGAAGUCUGGAAUGUGGCCUUACCUCAGGAAUAUACUCAGUUUUAGGGAAACUGAUCCAGUGUCUGAUCUAAGGAUCACAUUUGAAGAGAAGCAGAAUGAGAGCUGGGCAAAGUUGGAAAAUGGAGCCACAGAAAUAUUGACCCAGUACCACCAGGCUGAGUGCUUCUUUCUAGUAUGUUCUUUAUACACCAGACCUCUGCCGAAUAAUGGAGUUCCAGAGCUGGAAGAGAUCCUCAGAUGUCAUGAAGUCAUCCACUGCCUCCCAGCAAGUUUCAUUUGGAUGGUCUGUUCAGAUUGUCUGUUCCCAGUUGUGGGCUGGGCAAGGAGCAUCCACAGGGUACUGAAGAACAAUAGGAAUGUUCCUAUGUUCAUCAUCAUACUGAUAAACGUGCUAAAAAACCAAGGUAAAUGGUUAUAUUUUUAGAAAUAUGAAAAAUAAUUACAGUAAUAUAUUUGACAUUUAAAAAAUAUUGUUAGGCUAAUGGAAGUGAGAAAGUGACUUAAGCUGCUGCUUCGGACAAAAAGUACCCUUUGACUGCUCAUCAUUCAGCCACUGGCUAAAUUUUUUGAAUGCCUUCCCUGAGUCUCCACAUUCCACUUCUGUCACUACAUUUAUUUAUUUCUAAUAUUGCACUCCAUGUUGAUUUUUGACCUUUGGACCUGAUGGCAUUUGCACCUUAGAAAAGGAGCAGAAAAACACAUAUUAAUAUUAAGAUGAUCAUUUCUUUUGUAAACAAGAAAUUUCUUGCAAAUAUUAAACCAAUGACUUUCACUUUUCCCCGUAUAAAUCGUGUUUCCUUUCAAUUGUUCAUUUUCUUGUCUGUGCC